UCAUAAUGUAGGCAAGGAGUUAUGGUUUGAAGGAGUUAAAAAGCCAUUUAGGUGACCUACAACAACACUGCAUACAUUAAGCAUUGCUCAAUGAUGUGGUGUAAGUAUCCAGAUGAAAAUAGGGAAUGUGCUUUCACAGGCAGCAAUGCCAGUGUAGUGGAAUUACAAGGAGACAGUGUUUAUUUGGCAUGCCUCUGCAGACACUGCUUCCAAGAGAUGGUGGCAGGUGUUUCAAAGGUGGCGUUUAGCCUGCAGAAGAUGGAGGCAGUGGCUUACAGUUACAAGCAGAAUCACAACAACAGACUGG